UGGGGAAUAUUGGACAAUGGGGGGAACCCUGAUCCAGCCAUGCCGCGUGUGUGAAGAAGGCCUUAUGGUUGUAAAGCACUUUAAGCGAGGAGGAGGGUACUGGUAUUAAUACUACCAGCUACUGGACGUUACUCGCAGAAUAAGCACCGGCUAACUCUGUGCCAGCAGCCGCGGUAAUACAGAGGGUGCGAGCGUUAAUCGGAUUUACUGGGCGUAAAGCGUGCGUAGGCGGCUAAUUGAGUCGGAUGUGAAAUCCCCGAGCUUAACUUGGGAAUUGCAUUCGAUACUGGUUAGCUAGAGUGUGGGAGAGGGUGGUGGAAUUUCCUGUGUAGCGGUGAAAUGCGUAGAUAUAGGAAGGAACACCAGUGGCGAAGGCGACCACCUGGGCUCAUACUGACACUGAGGUGCGAAAGCGUGGGGAGCAAACAGG
rnacentral:rRNA from 1 species